rnacentral:rRNA from 1 species
UACGGAGGGGGCUAGCGUUGUUCGGAAUUACUGGGCGUAAAGCGCGCGUAGGCGGACCUGCAAGUCGGGUGUGAAAGCCCUGGGCUCAACCCAGGAAGUGCACUCGAAACUGGAGGGCUAGAGUAUCGGAGAGGUUGGUGGAAUUCUCGGUGUAGAGGUGAAAUUCGUAGAUAUCGAGAGGAACACCGGUGGCGAAGGCGGCCAACUGGACGAAUACUGACGCUGAGACACGAAAGCGUGGGGAGCAAACAGG